UUGCCAGGCAACACAGAGGCCUGGUUCCCAGGUGUGUGGACCCUGGUGCUUCAGGUCCUGGGGCAUCUAUCUGGAGCAGUAGCUCUCCUAUUGGUCAUGUGGUGCUCGUGGUGCUGUUCAUUCUACCCUCCUCUACCACUACCAUGUCCAAGCCUACUCGUCAAGACUGUGGCCCAGUUCAUCUGUAACCUCACAGAGGAGACCCUGGCAUCGCUGAGUGCUGCUGUGACUUAAUCCAAGCCUCAACUGGCCACAUUCUGGCUCUGUACCAAAGCUCAGUUGGUCCUCUAACUCCUGCUAAGCUCCUUACAACUAUUCAGAUGGUGAAAAAAAUCCCAAGUGCUGAGACUGGGAGUUUCAAAGAAUUCACAGUUUAGGAAGCUCUGCUGAAUGGCUUGGUGGCCAUGAGGUGUAGAUGAGAGUUUCUAUCUGAGAUCAUUAGCAAAUGUGACGCCAUUGGCUAUAACAUUCAAAGACUGACCUUUUAUAUCUGACUUCAUUUAAGUUCUUACUUGAAUGUUCUUGGACCACAUGUGAUGAGACUGAUGUCUGAAUAAAAUAAGAGCUAUCAAAAA